CAAAUUCAAGCCAUUUGAGAAAAAGUUGGAGACACUCUUUAUGGACCCUAGAAUGCCUCUGGGCUCCACCCCUGUUCCAUUCUCCUCUCCACCCAUUCAUCCAGGUGCUGUGCGUCCUGGAAAGCUUCAGCGUGGCCUGCAGUCAAGCACAGGGAAGUCCCCUCGUGUUCUCCUGGUCUGCUGGGGAGCACCAGAGCCAUUCUUUGAAGGCAGGAGCAGAGAACUGCGCUUGAUUUUGGGCUCGUCCUCUACACCUCCUCCAUUUCUCCCCGAAUUGGAGGCUCUCCUUCAGGGGUCACAUGUGUUCCAGUUUGUGGCAAAUGGUGUUCCACGCUGUGUUUCCAGCAAGCUGUGGCAGGAAUCAGCCUUCUAGACCAUAGGGACAUAAGGACGAAAGAAGAAGGGAAAGGUCAUUUCUCCAGGGGAAAAGCAAUAAUUUCAUGCAAAUGUGAAGAAAAACAGUAUGUUGAUGGUUGUUGUUGUUUUCUGUAGUGCAAAAUAAAAAGAGAAAAGAAAAAAACA
rnacentral:lncRNA from 1 species